rnacentral:rRNA from 1 species
AUUGAACGCUGGCGGCAUGCCUUACACAUGCAAGUCGAACGGUAACAGGUUAAGCUGACGAGUGGCGAACGGGUGAGUAAUAUAUCGGAACGUGCCCAGUCGUGGGGGAUAACGUAGCGAAAGCUACGCUAAUACCGCAUACGAUCUACGGAUGAAAGCGGGGGAUCGCAAGACCUCGCGCGGUUGGAGCGGCCGAUAUCAGAUUAGGUUGUUGGUGAGGUAAAAGCUCACCAAGCCUGCGAUCUGUAGCUGGUCUGAGAGGACGACCAGCCACACUGGAACUGAGACACGGUCCAGACUCCUACGGGAGGCAGCAGUGGGGAAUUUUGGACAAUGGACGCAAGUCUAAUCCAGCAAUGCCGCGUGCAGGACGAAGGCCUUCGGGUUGUAAACUGCUUUUGUACGGAACGAAACGGUGAGCUCUAAUACAGUUUGCUAAUGACGGUACCGUAAGAAUAAGCACCGGCUAACUACGUGCCAGCCGCCGCGGUAA